rnacentral:tRNA from 1 species
GCCUGGCUGGCUCAGUCAGAAGAGCAUGAGACUCUUGAUCUCAGGGUCAUGAGUUCAAGUCCCAUGUUAGGUC